GACGAACGCUGGCGGCGUGCUUAACACAUGCAAGUCGAACGGAAAGGCCCUGCUUUUGUGGGGUGCUCGAGUGGCGAACGGGUGAGUAACACGUGAGUAACCUGCCCUUGACUUGGGGAUAACUUCAGGAAACUGGGGCUAAUACCGGAUUGGCGUUCCUGCUGCAUGGUGGGGGUUGGAAAGUUUCGGCGGUUGGGGAUGGACUCGCGGCUUAUCAGCUUGUUGGUGGGGUAGUGGCUUACCAAGGCUUUGACGGGUAGCCGGCCUGAGAGGGUGAGCGGCCACAUUGGGACUGAGAUACGCCCCAGACUCCUACGGGAGGCAGCAGUGGGGAAUAUUGCACAAUGGGCGGAAGCCUGUUGCAGCAACGCCGCGUGCGGGAUAACGGCCUUCGGGUUGUAAACCGCUUUCGCCUGUGACGAAGCGUGAGUGACGGUAAUGGGUAAAGAAGCACCGGCUAACUACGUG
rnacentral:rRNA from 1 species